GGCCACUAACUUUUUCAACACCAGGCCCAACUGAAUUCAAGGAAUAACAAUUAACCAUGAGAUGCACUAUGUUUGUAUGCAAGAAUGACGAAGUAAUCAGCCUCCAUAGUUGCCCUUUGUCAAUAAGACUGUUAAUCUUAGCUCCCCAAAAUAAAAGCUUGCCUUCUGUUGCGACUUGUGCAAUAUAUAUCAAUAUGUUAAGUGCAAGGAAUAUGUUGGUCCAUUUCCUUUCACUGGAAAAGAAUGAUCUUGAUGACUUUGAGUAUGAAUUCUGAAUCUUUCUAAAUUUCCUUCUACUUUCAUCAGCGCUGAAGAAUAAUAAGCUCAUGUCUUCGGCAGAGAAGACAUCCUGUGACCACUGAAGGAUGUUGAAUCCAGUGACAUGAAGGGUCCAUUUAUGACAUGCAUCCUUCAAUAUAGGGCCAUGAACAUGACAAAAGAUAUGCUUGAUAGAGGAUUGAAGACGACGGUGGAGGGCGUCGCCGAGGCGGAGAGCGGCGGCGUUGGUGAUGAUGUAGGUGGUUGUGGGACCCCAUGUGGAUACCGUCUGAUGAAAUUUGGGAUUGGAUGGAAGGGAUGCCCAACCCGCCAUUUCCA
rnacentral:misc_RNA from 1 species